rnacentral:rRNA from 1 species
AGCGAACGCUGGCGGCAGGCUUAACACAUGCAAGUCGAACGGGCACUUCGGUGCUAGUGGCAGACGGGUGAGUAACACGUGGGAACGUACCUUUCGGUUCGGAAUAAUCCAGGGAAACUUGGACUAAUACCGGAUACGCCCUUCGGGGGAAAGAUUUAUCGCCGAUAGAUCGGCCCGCGUCUGAUUAGCUAGUUGGUGAGGUAAUGGCUCACCAAGGCGACGAUCAGUAGCUGGUCUGAGAGGAUGAUCAGCCACAUUGGGACUGAGACACGGCCCAAACUCCUACGGGAGGCAGCAGUGGGGAAUAUUGGACAAUGGGCGCAAGCCUGAUCCAGCCAUGCCGCGUGAGUGAUGAAGGCCUUAGGGUUGUAAGGCUCUUUUGUCCGGGAAGAUAAUGACUGUACCGGAAGAAUAAGCCCCGGCUAACUUCGUGCCAGCCGCCGCAGUAA